rnacentral:rRNA from 1 species
AAACUAACAAGGAUUCCCCUAGUAACGGCGAGUGAAGCGGGAAGAGCUCAAAUUUGAAAGCUGGCGCCUUCGGCGUCCGCGUUGUAAUCUCGAGAAGUGUUUUCCGUGCUGGACCAUGUACAAGUUCCUUGGAAUAGGACGUCAUAGAGGGUGAAAAUCCCGUACUUGAUGUGGCCGCCCAGUGCUUUGUGAUACACUUUCCAUGAGUCGAGUUGUUUGGGAAUGCAGCUCAAAAUGGGUGGUAAAUUCCAUCUAAAGCUAAAUAUUGGGGAGAGACCGAUAGCGAACAAGUACCGUGAGGGAAAGAUGAAAAGCACUUUGGAAAGAGAGUUAAAUAGUACGUGAAAUUGUCGAAAGGGAAGCGCUUGAAGUUAGACAUGCUAGUUGGAAUUCAGCCUUGCUUUUGCUUGGUGCAUUUUCCGGUUAGCAGGCCAGCAUCAGUUUUGCCUGUCGGAUAAGGGUAGGAGGAAUGUGGCCCCUCAGGGGUGUUAUAGCCUCUUACUGGAUACGACGGGUGGGACUGAGGACAGCAGUGCGCCUUUAUGGCGGGCCUUCGGGCACCUUCGCACUUAGGAUGCUGGCGUAAUGGCUUUAAGCGACC